CAGUGAACUUCUCCUCAGCCCCUCAGUCCAGUGAGCACUCUCGGUGGUGAGGAGAGGGAUGGGAAGAACUGCAGGGGUCUGGUGACUGAGAGCUUUGGGGCAUCACUCCAUCUGCCUUGGUCACUAUGCACAGCCCCUCCCCCCCAUCCCCAUUCUUCUCUGGAGGUGGCAGCCCCAAGCCCACCUGUGGGGCCUCACUGUCACCCUGCCCCCUGCCCUUGGACCUUUGUGUGGGUACAAGUUCCUUGUCCCAGGACCUCAGGCCGCUAUGAGCAAGGGGCAGACGGAGGCCAGGGCCCGGCCCCCCAGAUGCCACACAGCCAGGAUUCAUUACCCUUCUUUGGGACCCCACAUUUGUCACUCCCAGGACGGUGGGGCUUGGAGGAAGCUAUCCACAUGUCCUCCUUUCUGCUCCAGAUGGGGCAAGGAGUUUGAAUUAGAUAAACAGAGAUGAACAAAUGCUAAACUUGGAUUCCAGCUGUGGCGCCUGGUGGGUCAAUGAUCUGGCGCAUCUCCGUGGCAUUGCUGGUUCUACCCCUGGCCCAGCNUGGCAUUGCUGGUUCUAUCCCUGGCCCAGCACAGUGGGUUAAGGAGCUGACAUUGCCCCAGCUGUGGUGUAGGACUCAGACGAGGCUCAGAUUUGAUCCCUGGCCCAGGAGCUUCCAAUAUGGCCAAGGGUGCGGCCAAAAAAGAAAAAAAAAAUGCUAAACAGGAACACAAACUUUAUACAGAUCAUUUUUAGACAUUAAACAGACACAAAGGGCCUGGCAACAUCUGAGGGUCUUGUGUGGCCUUUCUUUGGGUUGAACUUUGUCCCUUCAGACACAACGUGCCAAGGCUUUGUGUGGUUCCCGAGGCCCUGCUGUGGCUGCAGCUUGUUCUUAUCCCCGUUGGGUGGCUGGAGAGAGGCACUGAGCAGAGCCGGCCUGCCUCGUCCUCCGUUUCCACGUCUCCACGUUGCUGGGAGAUGAAGGCUGCUGUCGCCUGGGCAGCCCCAGGGGCACAUUUGCAUUAUUUUGUGGCAACAGGCAAAUUUCCUGGAGGGGGUUUUGUGAAGAGCUGGGAGCCGCCCAGAGGGAAAGCUGAAGGAAGUGGAGAGCAGAAGGCCAAGAGGAAACAAGCCCGGGCAGAGGCUGGCCUGGGGGGGGAUCUGGAGCCCUGAACCCCUCCUCUGCCCUUCUGAGCUGCAGAGGGAAGCCUGGGCCUGAGCGGGUCCAGGGGGUGGUGCUGCCACCUGCGCUGACCUGCAGGAAAGCUUGCCCAACCCAAGCCUGUGUCAGUGGCAGGAUAACAAUCUAAGGAGGAGCCAACCAGGCUGCAGAGUAAAAUGGAAAAUUCCCAACCAGGCUGCAGAGUAAGAUGAGGACCUCCUGCGCCUCAGCUGCCCCCAGGGGCACUGGCCAGGCCCUGACGGGAAGGCAGUGGGCAACGGCAACUGAGCAACUCCAGGCGGAAGGGAACAGGGACCCUGGGCUCUGACCUUUCUCUUUAUUCUUGCAUCUUGGGAACUGGUGUGACUAGGGGCUUAGCAGGUGUGUGGACUGGAUGGGGAUGGAGAGGCCAUGAUGAAAUGAAAGAAGACAGACCUGCUUUCUGCAUAUAAAGGAGGUCCAACAACCUUCCACAAUAGGCUGAGAACCUGAAAAAAAAUGGGUCGCGUCGGUGUAAACAAAUUAAGCAGUGUUCCACAAGCAUAUCAAGGUUUUGUUUUGGGGUUUUGUGGGGUUUUUUGCUCUUUUUAGGGCCACACCUGAGGCAUACGGAGGCUCCCUAGCUAGGGGUCCAAUCAGAGCUGUAUCCCUUGGCCUACAGCCACAGCCACACCAGAUCCGAGAUGCAUCUGCAGCCUACAUCACAGCUCACAGCAAUGCUGGACCCUUGACCAAAUGAACGAGGGCAAGGAUCAAACCUGUGUCCUCACGGAUGCUAGUCAGAUUCGUUUUCCGCUGAGCCACAACAGGAACUCCUUUUAUUUUUUAUUUUUAAGUUGUUUUAGUUUUGGCGGGGCCACACCUGGCACGCAGCUGUUUGCUCCCUUAGGCCAGGGAUCGAACCUGCCUCAUAGGGGUGACAAUGCCAGGUCCUUAAUCACUGAGCCACCAGGGAGCUCCUCAAGAUUUUAAACUGAAGGCACUAUGAAAGCUCAGGUGUAGACACUCUCAGGCUGGAUUAAUACUGAUGAACAUAGUGCUUUGCUGGGCCUGGGGGCUUGAGGAAGAACGUCCCUGGGCACCUGCUGGGUGCUGGCACCUUCACAUAGAGCCUCCUGUUCAAUCCUUGGUGUUAAGAAUCUUGCCAGCAGGACAAGCUGACCAAUGUUCUUCCUCAGCUCCUCCCAGGAAGCCAGGCUACAUUAAAGCAGGGUCUUUGGAGGCCUUGGAAAUGCAGGUGUUUUCCACUUAGACUCCAGAGCAGGAGCUUCAUGUUCCCUGUGCCCCAGGAAGAUGAGAAGGACCCAGAUGGCAGGAAGGGUGUCCUCUGGACACUUGGCUGGGAGCCCAGUUGCCUGGGUGCCAGGUCCAGCAAGGCCUCCCCACCCCUCUGGGGCCCAGUCAGAGGGAGGAAGGAAGGAAGCCAUGCAAGAUAGGAUUUCCCCACCCCAAGGCCUGCAAUCUUCCUGGCCCUAGUCACCUGAUAAGCAAGCUGGUUUGUAGCUGACCUGUGUAGUUUUACACCGGUAACAAAAGCCACUGGGAAGUUACAAAAAUCCUCCCGCACAGGUAGGCUUUAAGCGGCCACACUUGUUCAACAAGGGUGUGAAGGGGGGGAGUGAAAGAGCCCCAGACCGUCUGUAGGGGCGACUCUCUUCAGGGCCUGCUGGCUCGGCCCAGCGGCACAGAAGUUCCCCAGCUCUCCUCCCCUUUCUUCUGGGCCUUGGGGCGCUUUGACGUCUGCCCCUCCCUCCCAGCUGGUCUUGACUCACACGUUCCCUGGGUGAGCCACCUAUCCUCUGGCCCCCUUCCACCGACUCCGCCCAGGUCCCUGGGACACCCCGGGUGAGGAGUCGCUGGGAAGGCAGGCUGUGGGUGCAGGCCCGGGGCCUCCCCGCUCUGUGCGGGGGCUCGUGAGGGCUCUGCAGGCCAGGGUGAGGGGGGAGAGGGGCACAGGGAGUGGUAGACAACCGAGGCCCGCUUCCCCUCAGAGCUCCAGGGGGCUCUUUUGGUUCCUGGGAGGGUUGGAAGCCGCUUGCUUCCUGAUGCCAUCUUGUGUGCUCCUCCAGCAAGACAAGGUGCUCAUCAGGGCAGCAGUUAUCCUGAGGGCCCGGGACCAGCCUUCGUGUGUCAUGGGAAAGCAGCCAUGGAGGGCCUAGGAAAGAACCUCUUCACCCACAAAGAAGCCGAAUUUGGCUCCCAGGCUGAACCACAAGCCUUAUGCUGAUUACACAAGGCCACGCCUGCUCAGCUCUGGCUGGGGAGGGAGGCUUUGUAACUGAGGCUGGCUUCUGCCUCACUGACCCUGCCCCUUGCGUGAAAAUGUUCUCAGGAAGUCACGUUCUGGAAGGUCAGGAUGCUUUCGAAACUUGAAAGCAUUGAAGAGCCAUUCUGGAAGAGCUCCACCAGCCCCUGCUGAUAGACAGCAAUACUGUUCUUUUCAGCACUUUAAACGUGUCAUGGCAUUUAAUUCUCAUUGCAUCCCUUGGACGUGGAUCCUUGGAUGAUAUCCUGUUCAAGAGGAGAAAACCCAGGCUGUAAAGUACUCAGCUGUGGAUUGAGAACUGAAUGAGGCUCUUUGUUGGAGAGUUGAAGUCCCUGGCACUUGAGUCAGGGACGGAAGCCUGGGGAUACAGGUGGCCCUUUCCACCUCUCUAGUCAGUGUCUUUGUCACCUCGGUCUCCUUGAGGCCUGGUUUGAAAUGGAGCAAGUGCAGAGCUGGGAUUUUGAUGCCGGUCUGCAGCCUUUGGGAGCUGUUGGUGUAACUGAGCUGAAUCCUGUGGUGACUUCCCAGAGUGGACCCCUGCUCAUGUCCUCCGCUUGCUUGCCUUAUUAUCUAUAGAAAAACCUCAGUCAAAGAACCAAUUUGAUCAGAGAAGUGAGGAGUUCCCAUUGUGGCGCAGUGGAAACACAUAUGACUAGGAACCAUAUGGUUUUGGGUUUGAUCCCUGACCUUGCUCAGUGGGUUAAGGAUCCAGCGUUGCCAUGAGCUGUGGUGUAGGUUGCAGACGCUGCUUGGAUUCAGUGCUGCUGUGGCUGUGGCAUAGGUCGGCAGCUACAGCUCCGAUUAGAUCCCUCCAUAUGCCGUGGGUGUGGCCCUAAAAAGACAAAAGACCAAAAAAAAAAAA
rnacentral:lncRNA from 1 species